GCAAGUCGAACGCCAUCUUCGGAUGGAGUGGCAGACGGGUGAGUAACGCGUGGGAACGUACCCUUUGGUUCGGAAUAUUCUCGGGAAACUGAGAGCAAUACCGGAUAAGCCCUACGGGGGAAAGAUUUAUCGCCAAAGGAGCGGCCCGCGUCAGAUUAGGUAGUUGGUGGGGUAAAGGCCUACCAAGCCUACGAUCUGUAGCUGGUCUGAGAGGAUGAUCAGCCACACUGGGACUGAGACACGGCCCAGACUCCUACGGGAGGCAGCAGUGGGGAAUAUUGGACAAUGGGCGCAAGCCUGAUCCAGCCAUGCCGCGUGGAUGAUGAAGGCCUUAGGGUUGUAAAAUCCUUUCAACGGGGACGAUAAUGACGGUACCCGUAGAAGAAGCCCCGGCUAACUUCGUGCCAGCAGCCGCGGUAAUACGAAGGGGGCUAGCGUUGCUCGGAAUUACUGGGCGUAAAGCGCACGUAGGCGGAUAUUUAAGUCGGAGGUGAAAGCCCAGGGCUCAACCCUGGAACUGCCCUCGAUACUGGGUAUCUGGACCAAAGUAGAGGUAAGUGGAAUUCCGAGUGUAGAGGUGAAAUUCGUAGAUAUUCGGAGGAACACCAGUGGCGAAGGCGACUUACUGGACUUUUGGUGACGCUGAGGUGCGAAAGCGUG
rnacentral:rRNA from 1 species